rnacentral:rRNA from 1 species
UACGAAGGGGGCUAGCGUUGUUCGGAAUUACUGGGCGUAAAGCGCACGUAGGCGGAUACUUAAGUCAGGGGUGAAAUCCCGGGGCUCAACCCCGGAACUGCCUUUGAUACUGGGUAUCUCGAGUCCGGAAGAGGUGAGUGGAAUUCCGAGUGUAGAGGUGAAAUUCGUAGAUAUUCGGAGGAACACCAGUGGCGAAGGCGGCUCACUGGUCCGGUACUGACGCUGAGGUGCGAAAGCGUGGGUAGCGAAUGGG